AUCUAAGGCCAUACCACCCUGAAGGUGUCCCAUCAUCUCCUCUGAUCUCAGAAGCUAAGUAGGGUCAGGUCUGGUUAGUACUUGGAUGGGAGAAUGCGCGUGAGACAUUGGCCUCUUCAUC
rnacentral:rRNA from 1 species